rnacentral:rRNA from 1 species
AUACGGAGGGUGCAAGCGUUAUUCGGAAUCACUGGGCGUAAAGGACGCGUAGGCGGGUUGGCAAGUCAGAUGUGAAAUCCUACAGCUUAACUGUAGAACUGCAUUUGAAACUGCUAACCUAGAGUAUGGGAGGGGGAGAUGGAAUUAGUGGUGUAGGGGUAAAAUCCGUAGAUAUCACUAGGAAUACCGAAAGCGAAGGUGAUCUCCUGGAACAUAACUGACGCUAAGGCGUGAAAGCGUGGGGAGCAAACAGGAUUAGAAACCCUAGUAGUCC